GUAACCACUGCGCCACGACGGGAACUCCCGGAAAAGCUAUUUUUUAAUGAUGCUGAAAUGCCCGGAGAUAAUACAGAAAACAGAACAGAUUAUUUCAUUGGAUAAAAUCAUUAAUUUUGAUGUCAGACAGACUUUGGAUAAAGUUCUGACUCUGAAAUAAGCAACUGCAGGGAACUCAGCAAGGAACGUGAAGAAAUUUGGGGGACUGUUGUGUUUGUUUCUGUUUCAUAAGAAUUCUUAUAUUACUCUUUUUAUUUUUCAGAUCAACUGAAGGAAAAUGAUCAACUGAAGGAAAAUGAUCAACUUAGGAAGGAAAAUGGAAAAUUGCAAAAGGAAAUUGAUGAGAGGAAAGCUCAAUUUAGGAAUGGUAAGUAAUUUGGAAGUUCUUUCGUGGAUCAGAUUCCACAAAUAAUAAGCCAUCUAGCCCUUCUCUAAACCUCCUUCCAGAAAGAGUCAGGCAUGGUAUACCAUGGCAUGUGCUCACUGUGUAGAAGCAUAAAUGGAAGAGAAUCUGUGAAAGUGAGUUAACUCAUUUUCUUUCCUAACU
rnacentral:lncRNA from 1 species